AAAUAUUAGUAUUAUUUAUUUGUAUAAAACAAGUGGCUUAUUUUGUUAAUGAAUCCUUUGAACCUGAGAUGAAAGUGAAAACUUUUGGCAAAACAGUAUGAUGCCUACCUGUCCUUUCUCUUUUCUCGGACUGCUCAAACUAAAUAGUCAACUGGGCAUGUAAAAAAAUCUCUUUUCAUUGCCUCCCCCAAAUUCACAUACCCAAGAACUAGUGAAUUUGAAGAUAUCAGGUGGGGCCUGUAGGAAGCCUCAGACACUGGCAAUUGGGCAAAAAAAUAUUUGUAGAGCUGCUUGCAAGCAAAACCUUUUAUGUCUCAGAAAGUUAACGUUAUCUCCUUCCCUAGGAUAAACCUGGAAGGUACUGAUCGAAGGUUUCUGUGGAAGAAACCUGUUGUUGGAAACUCUCAGAACCUCCCAGACUACGAAAACACCACAGAUGACCCGCAUUCCCAGGGACUUUUGAGCUCAGAGCUGGAUGUCUGUGUUGAAGAGAAGGGAAAAGCCAAGUGCAGGGGGUGACAGAGGAGGAACGGAAGCCCUGCCGCCUGCAGGGGGCUUCCUGUUGUGGCUGUAAGAAGGAAGACCAGGCAGGGGAUGGGCAGUCUAGAUGCAAAGCUCUGGGGCUGAGUCAAGAUGCUUCUAAAUUUCAAAGUCAGGAUUUCGAAAAGUACCAGACCUUCAGAGAAAUGUUCCGUUUUAAUCUUGCCUAAUAUAUCAAUACUUCUAGAUCCCGUGAUCAAACCUAGAGCUAGAACCUCCUAGAUCGUACAACAGAGGCUGGAGAUAAAAGAGUGACACAGGAUUAAUGACGGGGAAAAACACCUUGUGACAAUCGAGGCAGAGAUUGGAGGGAUGCAGUCACCAGUCAAGGAGUGCCAAGGGCUGCCAACAGCAGCACAGGAGGACAGCAGAUGUAAAAAGCUCAGGUGAGGGAGCAAGCCCUGGGGCUCUCUCUGAACAGCGGAGAAACCCACCAGGAGCUCAGGAAGCCUGAAGAAAAGAGGCUGCUUUCCAGGGCCCGCCAGAAGUAUACUUUGUGAUCUCUGUGGCUC
ensembl:lncRNA